rnacentral:rRNA from 1 species
UACAUAGGGAGCAAGCGUUAUCCGGAAUUAUUGGGUGUAAAGGGUGCGUAGACGGAGGAGCAAGUUAGUUGUGAAAUCCCUCGGCUUAACUGAGGAACUGCAACUAAAACUAUUCCCCUUGAGUGUCGGAGAGGAAAGUGGAAUUCCUAGUGUAGCGGUGAAAUGCGUAGAUAUUAGGAAGAACACCAGUGGCGAAGGCGGCUUUCUGGACUGAAACUGACGCUGAGGCACGAAAGCGUGGGGAGCGAACAGG